AGUGGCGGACGGGUGAGUAACGCGUAGGAAUCUACCUGGUAGUGGGGGACAACCCGGCGAAAGCCGGGCUAAUACCGCAUACGAUCCACGGAUGAAAGCAGGGGACCGCAAGGCCUUGCGCUAUCAGAUGAGCCUGCGUCGGAUUAGCUAGUUGGUGAGGUAACGGCUCACCAAGGCGACGAUCCGUAGCUGGUUUGAGAGAACGACCAGCCACACCGGAACUGAGACACGGUCCGGACUCCUACGGGAGGCAGCAGUGGGGAAUAUUGGACAAUGGGGGCAACCCUGAUCCAGCAAUGCCGCGUGUGUGAAGAAGGCCUUCGGGUUGUAAAGCACUUUCGGUGGGGAAAAACAAGGCGGAGCUAACAUCUCUGUCCCUGAUGGUACCCAAAGAAGAAGCACCGGCUAACUCUGUGCCAGCCGCCGCGGUA
rnacentral:rRNA from 1 species